GAUGAACGCUAGCGGCAGGCUUAAUACAUGCAAGUCGAGGGACAGCACAGGUAGCAAUACUGGGUGGUAACCGGCAAACGGGUGCGGAACACGUACACAACCUUCCUUUAAGUGGGGGAUAGCCCAGAGAAAUUUGGAUUAAUACCCCGUAAUAUAGUUGAAUGGCAUAAUUUGUUUAUUAUAGCUCGGGCGCUUAAUGUUGGUUGUGGGGCUGAUAAGAUAGUUGGGGGGGUAACGGCCCACCAAUCUUACGACAAGUAGCUGAGGUGAGAGCAUGAUCAGCCACACGGGCACUGAGACACGGGCCCGACUCCUACGGGAGGCAGCAGUAAGGAAUAUUGGUCAAUGGACGCAAGUCUGAACCAGCCAUGCCGCGUGAAGGAUUAAGGUCCUCUGGAUUGUAAACUUCUUUUAUUUGGGACGAAAAAGGGCCUUUCUAGGUCAACUGACGGUACCAGAUGAAUAAGCACCGGCUAACUCCGUGCCAGCCGCCGCCGUAAGAC
rnacentral:rRNA from 1 species